AUGACUCCAUUUGGGGCCUGGUGUGUCUUUACACAGGUGUUUCUGUGCUCCUGGAAGCAGUUUUGCUCGCUCUCCAGGCCUCGUAUACAGGACUCAACCUGGGACUCGCCCUUGUCCCUCUCUUGUGUGGAUCCUCUUCUGCGCAACCCCCCUCUUUUUUUUUUUUUAUUUGGUUGGGUUGAGCUACAUCCUCAUGGGGUGCACACAUGCAAGAAAAACCAACUUCAUCUCGCCGAUCCCGUACUUACUUCAGUCGGGAACAGCUUCGGGUGCUAACUGAUACCUUUGAAAAGACCAGGUACCCCAACUGGUUCAUCGUAAACACGCUUUCUUCAAAUAUUCAUCUUGAUGAGUCAGUUAUAAAGGUAUGUCCCCGCGUCUGUCACUAGAUAGUACACCCGACCCAGAGUUUCACAUACUUUUAGUCAUCGUAUAAUUCUGGUUGCUUGAAAAAUUGCUGCCAGGACAGAUGUCAAACAUAUUAUCUCUUUGUUCUAAACACCACUCCUUUUACUGAGAAACGCUAAGGCUCAGAGAGAGGAAUUGUCUUCCAAAAGUUAUAAACAUAGGAACUAGGAGUUGAAGCCAGGCUUUGCUGUCUUCAGACCCACAAUGCUAUGUGAGAUCCUUUGGUGACGGAUUUCAGAUACUCCCACUUGGGGAGCUCCUGUUGUGGCUCAGUGGUAAUGAACCUGACUGGUAUCCAUGAGGACUCAGGUUCCAUCCCUGGCCUCCCUCAGUGGGUUAAGGUUCUGGUGUGGUGGAGAGCUGUGGGGCAGGUCGCAGAUGUGGCUNCGGAGAGCUGUGGGGCAGGUCGCAGAUAUGGCUUGGAUCCCAAGUUGUGGCUGUGGUGUGUCCUAAAAAGGAAAAAAAAAAGAAAGAAAAAAACCCAGAUAUUCCCAUUUGGGUCUUUUCCUGGUUAUUUCUAGGUUCUCCUCCCCUCAACCCCUUUUCUCUUUCUUUUCUGGCUGCCCUGCAGUAUAUGGAAUUCCUAGGCCAGGGAUCAGAUCCAAGCUGCAGUUGUGACC
rnacentral:lncRNA from 1 species